GACGAACCGUGCAAACGUUGUUCGGAAUCACUGGGCUUAAAGGGCGCGUAGGCGGCCGACCAAGUCCGGGGUGAAAUCUUUCGGCUUAACCGGAAAAGGGCCUUGGAUACUGGUUUGCUAGAGGGAGGUAGGGGUCUGUGGAACUUCUGGUGGAGCGGUGAAAUGCGUUGAUAUCAGAAGGAACGCCGGUGGCGAAAGCGACGGACUGGAUCUCUUCUGACGCUGAUGCGCGAAAGCCAGGGGAGCAAACGGG
rnacentral:rRNA from 1 species